AUUGAACGCUGGCGGCAGGCUUAACACAUGCAAGUCGAGCGGAGAGAGGUAGCUUGCUACUGAUCUUAGCGGCGGACGGGUGAGUAAUGCUUAGGAAUCUGACUAUUAGUGGGGGACAACAUUUCGAAAGGAAUGCUAAUACCGCAUACGUCCUAGGGGAGAAAGCAGGGGAUCUUCGGACCUUGAGCUAAUAGAUGAGCCACGGUCGGAUUAGCUAGUUGGUGGUAUAAAGGCCGACCAAUGCGACGCUCUGUACCGGGUCUGAGAGGAUGAUCCGCCACACUGGGACUGAGACACGGCCCAGACUCCUACGGGAGGCAGCAGUGGGGAAUAUUGGACAAUGGGCGCAAGCCUGCUCCAGCCAUGCCGCGUGUGUGAAGAAGGCCUUAUGGUUGUAAAGCACUUUAAGCGAGGAGGAGGCUACUUUAGUUAAUACCUAGAGAUAGUGGACGUUACUCGCAGAAUAAGCACCGGCUAACUCUGUGCCAGCCGCCGCCGUAAAAC
rnacentral:rRNA from 1 species